AGGAUCUGUGACCUGACCUAUUAUAAUCAGUGCUUAAUGAAUGGCUGUUUAUUACCCUAGCAAUAUCACUCUGCAUGAGGUUAAGCCAUUUGGUUGUAUUUUUCCAUGUUCUGCAUUGCAUUAAAAAUACAUUGUGCCAGACCCCUGGUGCUGUGAAAUUUAUUCCAUCAGUUAAUCUGACAUUCAAGUCCUGUGUUAUCUGCCUCCAUUUAACUGAAUUCUUACAGUUAGUUAAUAGCUACAUUAUCUUCCAGGUAAGGCAGUCUGGGCUCUGUCCCUGGAAGAUGUUGUAUUAUCCAGCAUGUGUUCAUGCUUUUUACCUGUUUAGUGAGUUUCCAUGUUGCCUUCUGUGCUUGCAAGAUGUAUGACUUUUACCAGCUGUCCUUCUUAACCUUUCUGGCUUACAAUAAUCUCAUUUUUUUGACCCUACAAUAAGAUAUAAAGGCUGAAAUAUAUUUGACUAUUUUGUAUAGCUCUCUGUUUUUGCUACUUGUAUUUUGGGGUUUUUUCUUCACUAAGAUUCUGAGUCUUUUAAAGAUUAGAACUAUGUAAUAUAUAUCUUCAAAAGUAUUGAGCAAUUUAUGAGCUCCCAAAAAUAUACUAUUUAAUGAUUUGAAUUACAAUAUUAAAUAGGUAUAUAGUUAUAACCUUCACUUGAAGUUUGUAAUAAUAUUAUUUUUUAAAGUUUUGUGUGAUUAAUAAAUCAUUCAUGAUUGAUAUAAACAUAUAUGUGUAUAUACAUUUAUUGAUUCAUGUGGAAUGUGUACAUAUAUCUAUACAAGUAUAUUUUUAAAAUGAAAUUUCUCCCAAUGUACAUCCAACAAAAAGGGAUUAAGUCUAUAAAAGAUAGUCCAUUUUCUGUUUAAAACUGAAAUUUUAGUAUUUCCAAUACCAAGCCAACAUAGUAAAUCUCAAAUUAAACUUUCUUGGAUUCAUAUUUGAAUUCAAGAAUUGUGCACAAAAGACAAAUAAAGUGUUAGAAACCAGAAAGCAUUUUAUGUGUUACCUCACCCCUUUGAAAGUAUUUAUCCCUGGGUUGUUUGAACAUGUCUGGCUUUAGGGCUGCCUAAUUAGCCACGUGCUAUAAAUAUGAUAGAAAGCAUGUCAAGGCUUAUGAAACCCACCACAACAAGUUACCCAUAUUACUGCCAAUGAGAAGAUGUGGUAUAUAAAGAAGAAACUUUGACAGACUGAAAAAUAAAAGGAGCAGGUAUAGCAUUUUCAUAUCUUCUUGUAAUUAAAUACUGUCACUUUGGAAUAGAUAGAGGA
rnacentral:lncRNA from 1 species